GCCUUCGUGGUGUAGUGGUCAGCACGCUCGGCGCGUAUUCUAGAGGCCGCGGUUCGAAUCCUAGCGAGAGCA
rnacentral:tRNA from 1 species